rnacentral:rRNA from 1 species
AGAGUUUGAUCCUGGCUCAGAACGAACGCUGGCGGCAUGCCUAACACAUGCAAGUCGAACGCCAUCCUCUGGAUGGAGUGGCGCACGGGUGAGUAACGCGUGGGAACCUGCCUUUUUCUGCGGGACAACGAUUGGAAACGAUCGCUAAUACCGCAUACGCCCUACGGGGGAAAGGUCCGCCGGAGAGAGAGGGGCCCGCGUUUGAUUAGCUAGUUGGUGAGGUAAUGGCUCACCAAGGCGACGAUCAAUAGCUGGUCUGAGAGGAUGAUCAGCCACACUGGGACUGAGACACGGCCCAGACUCCUACGGGAGGCAGCAGUGGGGAAUAUUGGACAAUGGGGGCAACCCUGAUCCAGCAAUGCCGCGUGUGUGAUGAAGGCCUUAGGGUUGUAAAGCACUUUCACUGGCGAAGAUGAUGACGGUAACCAGAGAAGAAGCCCCGGCUAACUUCGUGCCAGCAGCCGCGGUAAUACGAAGGGGGCGAGCGUUGUUCGGAAUUACUGGGCGUAAAGGGCGUGUA